GGAAGGAUGGCUGAGUGGUCUAAAGCGAUAGAUUGUAACUCUAUUAAUAUAUUAUAUUAUCAUAGGUUCGAAUCCUAUUUCUUUCA
rnacentral:tRNA from 1 species